CUAUCCGAUGUUGUUAACACCAUAGUCAAAAAGACCUCGGCCUAGGUAAUAAACCCGUCUGGUGUUGAAAAUAUCAGACAACUUAAAGGCGAAAAUUUGGAGAUACCUCAACAUCAUCAAAAUGUCAAUUAGCCCAUAAGAUGGGUGUGUUCGACAUUACAUUGAACGAGCUUUUAAAAAAAAAGAACAAUGAAUUCCCUUCUAUCUUAUGCCAGAGAUGUCGGACAAGCGGCAAUCAAUCACAUAAUCCCUCAAUCAAUCAUAUAACCUUUCCACCCAAGUUCUCAUCAAAUGGUCAAUAGUAUGUGACCUCCCUGUGUGCCAGAAAUUAAAAGUUUUCCAUUUUUUCCAUGGCGCUCGUGAUAUGUUGAGUAUGCAGUGUUCUUUUAUAAGUAAGUACAUGAGAGGAAGAGAGAAAAUAUAAAAAUUGAUUUUACUGUUAUAUCUGGUAUGGAGUGAUGGUCCCUUGUUCUCCCUGGCUGCGGGACUACCCCAAACUUCAAACUGCUGCAACGAUCCUCCUGAAUAUUCAGGUUGUUUGCGGACUCAUUGGAUCAAUUGGUGCUCUCUAUUCUGGUCAAUUAAUGGUGGGUACAAUUGUGGGGUUGUUCGCUCUGGUUGCCAUUGAGAGUGGAAGCCGCUCGCUUAUAUCAACUUACUUUGUGUUGCUGCCUUGUACGCUUCUUCUCGACGUAGCUUGGAUCAUUUUUUACUAUUGGGAAACCAGGCAAUAUGACCCUGUGAAUUUUGGGGAGCAGUCUUCCAUUUCGGUGAAGGUUGAGUUUUGGAUGCAAAUUUCAGGCUUUUUGGUUCGAUGCUUAUCACUCCUCCCAUGGUUUCAUAUAUAUAUGCUGAGAGAAUCAUCCCAAUCAAGUGGUAUUCGAUCCUCCCGAUUUUGAGAGUAGGAUUGGGCUCUGCAGGCCGUCUUUAGGAUGACGAACAUCUACCAAUGCUGGGAUCAUUCUGUCAUACAAAGGUGGCAAUGAAUUGAUUUAUUCAAUAUGAACAGUAACAUUCUGAAUUAUGGCUCUUGACACCAGCUUCCUGUGCUGCAGUUUGACCUUCAUGUGUUGGGGGAACUCGAAGGAUAUCCCAUUACUCAAAAGGAAGUGAGCAUUUUUAGGUUCUCCUUUCCUCCACCAUGCUUCUUUCUAAUUGGUCAUGGUUUCCUUUUCUUCUUCAAAUUUUUUUAUUUUCCUUCUUUAUGUUUGCAUAUUCCUGGAUCCUUGGUUGCUAAGAUUGUAUGAUUAAUUUAAAAACAGAAUAGGGAUCCAAAUCAGUCUUCAUUGGAUCAAUCUGGAUCGCCCAUUCCAAUCAGGAUCGCCUAAUUCAAGGUGAUCCUGAUGAAAAUGGUGAAAAAAUAAAAAGAACACAGAUUUUCGUCUGAUUUAAA